ACGGGGUGCAGCAGGCGCGAAACCUUUGCAAUGUGCGCAAGCACGACAAGGUUAAUCCGAGUGUUUCCUGCUAAAGGAAUCUUUUGUUAGUCGUAAAACCACUGAUGAAUAAGGGGUGGGCAAGUUCUGGUGUCAGCCGCCGCGGUAAAACCAGCACCUCAAGUGGUCAGGAGGAUUAUUGGGCCUAAAGCAUCCGUAGCCGGCUCUGCAAGUUUUCGGUUAAAUCCAUUUGCUUAACAAAUGGGCUGCCGAAAAUACUACAUAGCUAGGGAGUGGGAGAGGUAGACGGUAUUCGGUAGGAAGGGGUAAAAUCCUUUGAUCUAUUGAGGACCACCUAUGGCGAAGGCAGUCUACCAGAACACGUUCGACGGUGAGGGAUGAAAGCUGGGGGAGCAAACCGGAUUAGAUACCCGGGUAGUCCCAGCUGUAAACGAUGCAGACUCGGUGAUGCACUGGCUUGUGGCCAGUGCAGUGCCGCAGGGAAGCCGUUAAGUUUGCCGCCUGGGAAGUACGUACGCAAGUAUGAAACUUAAAGGAAUUCGCGGGGGAGCAC
rnacentral:rRNA from 2 species